rnacentral:lncRNA from 1 species
UCCUCUGCCUCCAAGGAUCUAAUGGACUUCCUUCUUUGUGGCAUUCUCAUUUUAGGGGCCAUGUCCUAAGAAGAGGAUGAAUAAUGAUUAAGAGGAUGGAGAAGGAUGCGGAUUGAAGUGAAAUUUAAGAGGAGAAGAUGAUUUUGGAGAGUUUCUCACAGAUUCUAUGGGUUAGGAUUUGAAAUUUGGGGAAAUCAAGAGAGUGAUCCAUGAGAUUAAAAAAUUUGAGGACAGUGAUCCACGAUUUUGAGCGAUUUUAAAGUUUUUGGG